CGCUCUGGGCUACACACACGCUACAAUGGCCGGUACAAUGGGCUGCGAAAGCGCGAGCUGGAGCUAAUCCUCCAAAGCCGGCCCCAGUUCAGAUUGCAGGCUGCAACUCGCCUGCAUGAAGGCGGAGUCGCUAGUAACCGCAGGUCAGCAAUACUGCGGUGAAUACGUUCCCGGGCCUUGUACACACCGCCCGUCACGUCAUGGAAGCCGGCAGCACUUGAAGUCGCUGAGCCAACGCGCAAGCGAGGCAGGCGCCUAGGGUGAGGCGGGUAACUGUGACGAAGUCGUAACAAGGUAGCCGUACGGGAACGUGCGGCUGGAUCACCUCCUUU
rnacentral:rRNA from 1 species